UACGUAGGGGGGCGAGCGUUUGUCCGGAAUUAUUGGGCGUAAAGAGCGUGUAGGCGGUUCGGUAAGUCUGCCGUGAAAUCCUGGGGCUCAACCCCGGGCGUGCGGUGGAUACUGCCGGGCUAGAGGGUGGUAGAGGCGAGUGGAAUUCCUGGUGUAGCGGUGAAAAUGCGCAGAUAUCAGGAGGAACACCGGUGGCGAAGGCGGAUCUCUGGGCCUUACCUGACGCUCAGGCGCGAAAAGCUAGGGGGGAGCGAACAGG
rnacentral:rRNA from 1 species